GAACGCCCCGCAAGGGGAGUGGCAGACGGGUGAGUAACGCGUGGGAACGUGCCCUUCGCUUCGGAAUAGUCCCGGGAAACUGGGUUUAAUACCGGAUACGCCGUAUUGGGAAAGAUUUAUCGGCGAAGGAUCGGCCCGCGUUGGAUUAGCUAGUUGGCGGUGUAAUGGACCACCAAGGCUACGAUCCAUAGCUGGUCUGAGAGGAUGAUCAGCCACACUGGGACUGAGACACGGUCCAGACUCCUACGGGAGGCAGCAGUGGGGAAUUUUGCGCAAUGGGGGAAACCCUGACGCAGCAACGCCGCGUGGAGGAUGAAGCCCUUUGGGGCGUAAACUCCUUUCGACCGGGACGAUUAUGACGGUACCGGUGGAAGAAGCACCGGCUAACUCUGUG
rnacentral:rRNA from 1 species